rnacentral:rRNA from 1 species
UACGUAGGGUGCGAGCGUUGUCCGGAAUUAUUGGGCGUAAAGAGCUCGUAGGCGGUCUGUCGCGUCGGCUGUGAAAACCCGGGGCUCAACCCCGGGCCUGCAGUCGAUACGGGCAGACUAGAGUGCGGUAGGGGAGACUGGAAUUCCUGGUGUAGCGGUGAAAUGCGCAGAUAUCAGGAGGAACACCGGUGGCGAAGGCGGGUCUCUGGGCCGAUACUGACGCUGAGGAGCGAAAGCAUGGGGAGCGAACAGG